rnacentral:lncRNA from 1 species
UCUCUGAAGUUGCAGUGGAGUGGAUCGAAGCAACAAGACGCAGUGGACUGGAAUGAAGCUACUUGAAGAAGAGAAUCACCAAAACAAGUUAAAACUCGGCAAAACCAGGCAAAAUUGGCCCUUCGAAAGUCUUUGCUCCAUUCCCGUUUCAUGUCAACGAGCAAUGUGGGGCAGCUGUAACGGGCCUAUUUUGCUCGGGCCCAAAUCAGACCAAAAAACAAACAAAAAUAAAUAAAUAAAAAUACCAAAUAUUAACAGUCCAUCAAACCCAAAUUACAAGCCCAAAAAAUAAAAAACCCUAAGGCCCAACAAGCCCACAACCUAAAAAGAAAAAAAAAAGAAAACCCUAGCCCCCAGCCUGCUGCCGCCGCACCUAGCCCCUGACACCUCUACCAUCGCUACCUGCAAGGAAAGAUGGACACCUGCAACACGCAAC